UGGUUCCGCCGGCAACUGGAGACCAUUUUCGCGUGUAAAGCGAAUGUGAUAACCACUACACUACGGAACC